UAUCGAUUUUAAGGAUGCUUUAGGGUCAAUGACAAUGAAAUCACGAGUGAUAAAGGCUAAAAUGUGAGACUGUCAAUCUGACUAACCUUGAAGUGAACAAAUGGAAAAAAUGUCUCUUUCAAUAGCAUGGGCUUUUAAGGAAGAGGAAACAGAGGCGCUUAUAUGAUAGAACAGUAAAAGCAGGAGUGAUAAGGAAAGAUACAUGUAGAAUAAGAUGUGUCUUCAUGUCUGAAACACUAAAGAAAUAGAAAUAUUGUGGUUUUAUAAACUUUAAAAGAAUUGGAAUAUCAGGAGACUGCCUGCCCUUUGCAAUGUUAGAUAAUGAGUUCUUAGAUGUGAUGUCGAAAGCCUCAUGAAUAUAGUACCAUGACUUAAUCUAAUAAGAAAAAGAAAUGACAUUGAGGAGAAAACUAGUCACCAGUCUUUCACCAAGAACUAGAGAUAACUUUCCAAUAUUUGAAAUAUCAUAAUAUGUAUAGAACUUUAUUGAGCCACCAGUUUUUCACCAGGAAAAUAAGAUCACUUAACUAUUUUUAGCUCACCUGUCACAAAGUGACAGGGUGAGCUUUUUUGAUCGCUUUUCGUCUGGCGUCCACUUUAAAUGACAUCUCCUCAUAAACCACUAAGCCAAUUUCAUCCAAACUUCACAGGAAUGUUUCUUUGGUGGUCACCUCUAAAUAUUGUUCAUAGAACGCUGGUUGCCAU